rnacentral:rRNA from 1 species
UACGUAGGGGGCGAGCGUUGUCCGGAAUCACUGGGCGUAAAGGGCGCGUAGGCGGCCGGUUAAGUCUGGUGUCAAAGGCCACGGCUCAACCGUGGGGAGGCACUGGAAACUGGCCGGCUUGAGUGCAGGAGAGGGAAGCGGAAUUCCCGGUGUAGCGGUGAAAUGCGUAGAGAUCGGGAGGAACACCAGUGGCGAAGGCGGCUUCCUGGCCUGUGACUGACGCUGAGGCGCGAAAGCGUGGGGAGCGAAC